CGAACCUUUUCUUUAUGUCGUACCAAAUUCUUUUGGCUCUUUUAUCGUCUCGAAAGAUGAUUGUUAAGUCAUCCGAAAGUGACAAUAUUAUUAGGCUGUAUGCUUCCCGAUUCUUUUUCUUCCAAAUAUCAUAUUCUAGUUUAUUUUUUGUAAAGUCUGGCUCGUCAUUAACAAUUACGUCCUCGAAGAGAUCUUUUGAAUCUAGAAUUGCUUCCAUUUUCAUGGACCACGUUGUAUAGUUGUUUUCUGUUAACUGUUCGAUUUUUGCUAAGUUAUAUGUAUCCAUUUUUCAUUCAAUAUUUAUUUUCUAAAUUGGCGGUUAGUCCAAUUAUUUAUUUUCUUUAUGAUUUAAAUGGAUCAAUUGGCGGUUAGUCCAAUUCGCGCGCCCAAACAACGCACUGCUACCAAAUUGAUAUAGGCUUAGCAAAAUAUGGUUAUUCUUUUUGAGGAUUUCUGGUUGUUUUGUUUGUACUCACGUAUGUUGUAGUUACGAGGACAUCCCUUCUGAUAAAAACAAAUAUAUAUUUAUUUAAGGAACGACUUGUUCCAUUACAUAUAUUGUUAAGACAAGUUAGCGGUAAACAAUAACAGUAAGGUUGAAGGGUAGAAUUUGGAAGUUACGUCAUCGUAGUGACGUCAGCAUCUAUGAUGAUUAAAGUCAAAGUUUGCGUAACAAAUAUUUCAGUAAAUAUUUCUUAUAAAAUGAAAAGAGAAUAAUAAAGUUAUUUUUCACACAUCAUGAGACGUAUAAAACGUAUAAGAAAAGAUAUAUAGGUGCAUAUAUAAAUAUAUAUAUAUGUGGUGAUAUUGUUACACUCUCCAGGUUUUGGCUAGUCGGUUUAAUCAACAUUUGUUUUAUUUUUGUCAAAUUAAUUUCCAAGGGGAGUUUUCAGAAUCAAAAUUAGAUUACAUUUGAAUAAAAGCUGUACAUAUAAAAAAGUGAUUUUUGGUUUAAAUAAAAUUAAAAUUCAGACCCAUUAAUAAUAAACCUAUAAUUAGUGAAAUACAGCAUGUUGAAUUAGAAAAUGGCAUGCAGUUAUAUUUUAAAACUAAAGGAAUAGAGGCAUCAAAACCAAAACAAAAGUCUAAGAGAAAAAAUAGCAAAAACUUGAGAUUGUAUUGGGAUCGAGUGGAUAAAUUAAGAAUAAAGCAUCUCCUGAUGGUGUAUAUGAACGAAAAUAACUUAUUUCGAAUAUAAACACUGUCAUAACACUCAUUCUCCAUCCACUUGUAGAUAAGAUUUAUAUUUCUCUGCUCAUAUAAGUGCUUAUACAGUACUUAGAUUGUGGUUGAGAACAUGAAAAUCUAUCCACCGCGAGGUCCGACUUUUGAUUGCGUCCUCUCAGAGAUUUUCUGAAAGAACCAAAGACAUGGAAGUCGCUUAGAUGAAGAACCUAACUGCAUGUAAAAUGUUUGUAUGGUUCAGUUUCAUACUUGGAUGUAUAAUUGGGUACUAUCAUCAGAAGACACCUUUCGUGACAACUCAGGUCUCCCAUUUCUUUUUUUAUUCCAUAAAGAAAAGUCCGACCAUUCCUCUCUGCGGUCCCUCCUGGACCCUUGGAAAAUUUGACCAAAUUCUGGCUCGUUUCCAAGGUGACUAACGGAACCUAUUUUCCAAUGAAGAGAAAUGCUGUGAUAGAGAUACACGGGGACAUCUGAGGUUCUUCAUUAGACACGACAACAACAUUGAGUUUGAAGGUAUAUAUUGACAUUAAUUUUGUCAAUACACUUUUUAAACAGAUAAAGUUUACCAUAUAUGUAUAUAUGUCAAAAUAUUUAAAUAAGGAUAUCUUGUAUGAGGAGAAGAGAAAAAGAAAAUGGGUUGAUUAGAAUAACCCCCUGGGUGAACAUAUGUCCAUUUUUAUAAAAACAAACAUUUUAGGGAGCUUCUCGUGUCACCUUACUUCCCUUGGGACUAAUUUAUCCUUCUGAGAAGAGUUUAUAAACAUCUGGAUUUUUUAUUAUCGAUAAAAGGUUCUCAUGGAGGUUGACUCUACGCUGGUGGUUCCCAGGGUGGUCUUCGGUGUCUGUUCCUUCUUCGGCCUAUUCCUGAAUACUGUGUGCGUCCUUGCCAGACAACUACCACGACUGCUUUAUAAAUCACCACAUAUGUAUAUAUAUAUAUAUAUAUAUAUAUAUAUAUACAGGGUGAUCCAAAAGUCCCGCACUAUUUUAAAAAUUAAUAACUCCGCGAAUAUUUGCGCUAGAGCAAUGCGGUAAACACCAUUGUGUUCAGGAUGCAAUGGGAUUUUUUAUGGCAAAUAAUGAAAAUUUCGAAAUUGAUUUUAGUUACAAUUUUAUUCGCCAGAUGGCGCACUACCAGAAUCAGAGAUUCAGCGGCCAAAUUGUUUGAUAAAUUGAAAAAUAUAACUGAUCGACACGUAUUUUUCCUUUUUGAAUACCAGGAAAGAACCCUAAUAAUAUCAAAUAACAAAUUAAUAAAACACCAUUUCGCCAAAAAUAUGAAGAAUUGGUUAACGAUUUUUAAAUACAAUCAGAGAUAUGUAAAAUAGGUAAAUGCAAAUUAAAACAUGUAGCAAAAAAAAUUUGAUAUUUUAGAUACGGUUUGUUUCCGAAGAUAAUAAAUUUCUAAUAUUUUUAAUUCAACUCUCUCUCAUACUGUACCCAAUUUUAAAAAAUGUGUCCCCUCAAAUAAAAAUAUUUUUCAAAUCAACCUUUUGCGUUGAAAAACGUGGUAGUAAAAUCAUUUUGUAUUAUUUUUUUUGCACAAAAUUUCUAAAGUUAUUGGUGUACAGAAAAUAUUCCUUAUGCUAUUACUUCUAAUGAGCGAAAAGCGAAAAACCAAACAUAAGGGGAAAAAUUGUGUGUACCAGUGUUAUUCGAGAAGUUAUAACACUCUGAUUUGCACGAC